UUGUGUGCAAAUUGAAGUGGUUGGAAAAUCUAUUGGUCGUGCACAUUUUAAAAACUCUUUGUGAAAUAAAGUGUUGGACUCAGACUUCCAAGUGGCCACCAGUCUGGAACAAAGUAUAUUGAGAAGUAAAAUGGUUUGUUUCUUCAACUGCUCAUCCCCUUUCGACAUCUGUUCCCUUGGAGGAUGCCAGUGCCCCAGGACCUGGUGCUGGAAAUAACGGCAGCUGGAGCUCACCAGCUUCUUGGACUCACAAAGAACCUCAUUGCUCUGGGCCUGGUUUGCUGCCUGUCAUUCCUCAGGAGUUCCCUGGUCUACGGAGCCCAAGCUGUGCCAUUUAUAUCAGUAAGUGGCUAUUCACC